rnacentral:rRNA from 1 species
AGUGAACGCUGGCGGUAGGCCUAACACAUGCAAGUCGAACGGCAGCACAGUAAGAGCUUGCUCUUACGGGUGGCGAGUGGCGGACGGGUGAGGAAUGCAUCGGAAUCUACUUUUUCGUGGGGGAUAACGUAGGGAAACUUACGCUAAUACCGCAUACGACCUGCGGGUGAAAGCAGGGGAUCUUCGGACCUUGCGCGAUUGAAUGAGCCGAUGUCGGAUUAGCUAGUUGGCGGGGUAAAGGCCCACCAAGGCGACGAUCCGUAGCUGGUCUGAGAGGAUGAUCAGCCACACUGGAACUGAGACACGGUCCAGACUCCUACGGGAGGCAGCAGUGGGGAAUAUUGGACAAUGGGCGCAAGCCUGAUCCAGCCAUACCGCGUGGGUGAAGAAGGCCUUCGGGUUGUAAAGCCCUUUUGUUGGGAAAGAAAAGCAGCAGGUUAAUACCCCGCUGUUCUGACGGUACCCAAAGAAUAAGCACCGGCUAACUUCGUG